AAGUCGUAACAAGGUUUCCGUAGGUGAACCUGCGGAAGGAUCAUUAUUACGUAUCCAACGUAUCAAACCAAAUUGUGAACAGUUUCCGCAUUGGGUGAGGAUUUCUGCGAGAUGGUCGGAUUUGUUGAUUGAAAAUGCAUAGUUAGAAGGGCCUCAAAAACCCUUGAAGCUCAACAAUCCAAUGGCUAUUUCGGUCCUGUGAAUCUUAAUUGAUUCUCAGCUCACCUGGUGUGGUUUUAAACAUUAUUCUUCAUCUUUCUAUGCUAUUUAACAAUUAACCCCUUGUAAACAAAUUGACCUAACGUACCGAGUGGAACGACUUUCAACGGUUGUUUGACUCCGGAUAAAACCGAAACUUAAGAACAACUCUUAACAACGGAUAUCUUGGUUCUC
rnacentral:misc_RNA from 1 species